rnacentral:rRNA from 1 species
AGGCCACUGCUAUCGGAGUCCGACUAAGCCAUGCGAGUGCUAGUUCUGUUUUUGCAGAACUACGCGAACUGCUCAGUAACACGUGGACAACCUACCCUCAGGAGGGGGAUAACCCCGGGAAACUGGGGAUAAACCCCCAUAGGAUAUGGGUGCUGGAAGGCCCCAUAUCCCAAAGUAUGCUGCUCUGCAGCAUAGCCUGAGGAUGGGUCCGCGGCCGAUUAGGUAGUUGUUGGUGUAAAGGACCAACAAGCCUGUGAUCGGUACGGGUGGUGAGAGCCAUAGCCCGGAGAUGGACUCUGAGACAUGAGUCCAGGCCCUACGGGGCGCAGCAGGCGCGAAAACUCCGCAAUGCGCGAAAGCGCGACGGGGGGACUCCGAGUGUUCCUGCUUUUGCAGGAGCUUUUGGGGAGUCUAAAAGGCUCUCCGAAUAAGGGCUGGGUAAGACCGGUGCCAGCCGCCGCGGUAAUACCGGCAGCCCGAGUGGUGGCCGCUAUUAUUGGGCCUAAAGCGUCCGUAGCCGGUCUGGAAAGUCUCCACUUAAAUCUCCAGACUUAAUCUGGAGGUUGGUGGAGAUACUUCCAGACUAGGGGCCGGGAGACGCAGGAGGUACUCCUGGGGUAGGGGUGAAAUCCUAUAAUCCCAGGGGGACCACCGGUGGCGAAGGCGUCCUGCGAGAACGGGCCCGACGGUGAUGGACGAAAGCCAGGGGCGCGAACGGGAUUAGAUACCCCGGUAGUCCUGGCUGUAAACGCUGCAGGCUGGGUGCUGCAUCUCCUACGUGGGGGUGCAGUGCCGUAGAGAAGUCGUUAAGCCUGCCGCCUGGGAAGUACGCCCGCAAGGGUGAAACUUAAAGGAAUUGGCGGGGGAGCACCACAAGGGGUGGAGGCUGCGGUUCAAUUGGAUUCAACGCCGGGAAACUCACCGGGGGAGACGGCACAAUGAUGGUCAAGCUGAUGACUUUACCUGAGGAGCCGAGAGGAGGUGCAUGGCCGUCGUCAGCUCGUACUGUGAAGCGUCCUGUUAAGUCAGGCAACGAGCGAGACCCGUGCCCCUAGUUGCUACACUUCCUCUUUGGAGGAAGUGGCACUCUAGGGGGACCGCUGGCGCUAAGCCAGAGGAAGGUGCGGGCGACGGUAGGUCAGUAUGCCCUGAAUCCCCCGGGCUACACGCGGCCUACAAUGGCUGAGACAAUGGGUUGCGACGCCGAAAGGCGGAGCUAAUCCCUAAACUCAGCCUUAGUUCGGAUCGAGGGCUGCAACCCGCCCUCGUGAAGCCGGAAUCCCUAGUAAUCGCGUGUCAUCAUCGCGCGGUGAAUAUGUCCCUGCUCC